GAUGAACGCUGGCGGCGUGCUUAAUACAUGCAAGUCGAACGAUCAGGCGAGGAUUUUGUUGCUCGGACGUUAGCGGCGGACGUGUGAGUAACGUGAGGAAAACGUACCUAUCAUACUGGGAUAGCUUCGGAAAACCUGCUCUAACACGAGAUUAUAUAUUGAUCGGCAUGGUGCUAUAGUGAAGGACGUUUUUGCUGUCACUUAUACAUGCAUCCUAUCAGCAUUAGCGAGGUGGUAUGGUAACGGCUUACCAAGACAACUAUGCGUAGUCGGCUUGUGAGGGUGAUAGGCCGCACGGUAACUGAGACACGGUCCAGCGUCCUACGGGAGGCAGCAGUAGGGAAUCUUCCGCAAUGGGCGAAAGCCUGACGGAGCAACGCAGCGUGAGUGAUGAAGGUCUUCGGAUCGUAAAACUCUGUUAUUAGGGAAGAAAAAGUGUGUAAGUAACUAUGCACGUCUUGAGGGUACCUGAUCAGAAAGCCACGGCUAACUACGUG
rnacentral:rRNA from 1 species